rnacentral:rRNA from 1 species
GACGAACCGUGCGAACGUUGUUCGGAAUCACUGGGCUUAAAGGGCGCGUAGGCGGGCCGUCAAGUCAGGGGUGAAAGCCCCCAGCUCAACUGGGGAAGUGCCUUUGAUACUGACGAUCUCGAGGGAGGUAGGGGCGUGCGGAACUUCCGGUGGAGCGGUGAAAUGCGUAGAUAUCUGGAGGAACACCGGUGGCGAAGGCGGCGUUCUGGACUGCAACUGACACUGAGAGACGAAAGCCAGGGGAGCAAACGGG